rnacentral:rRNA from 1 species
UCUACCUACGGGGGGCAGCAGUAGGGAAUUUUCGUCAAUGGGCGCAAGCCUGAACGAGCAAUGCCGCGUGAACGAGGAAGGUCUUCGGAUCGUAAAGUUCUGUUGAAGGGGAAAAAGAGCGGAGAGAGGAAAUGGUCUCCGAUUGAUAUUACCCUUCGAGGAAGUCACGGCUAACUACGUGCCAGCAGCCGCGGUAAUACGUAGGUGGCGAGCGUUAUCCGGAAUUACUGGGUGUAAAGGGAGCGUAGACGGUGAAGUAAGUCUGGAGUGAAAGGCGGGGGCCCAACCCCCGGACUGCUCUGGAA